rnacentral:ncRNA from 1 species
UUGCGCCUGCGAAGGAGUCAGCGCGUCCGUUUUCAUGGCAUUGCAGGCGGCCGGACGGCGUACCCUCCCGUAUCUGGGCAAUGUGCCCAGUCAAACUGGUCCC